AAAAAUAUUCAACAAAGGCUUGGCAAUAAUGCAUUUGAUCAAAGCCCAAAAGCCUUGACAGUAUCUGCAGAGCGACAUCUGACCCGGGACGCUUCCCUGAGGCUCUCCGUCGCUUAUCUGGUCUCUGUGCAACGCCAACACAGGAGAUAGAACUAGCGCUUGAUGAAAGUCCUGAACAAGAACAGGCAGCUCUUACAAGGCGAUGGUCAGAACUGCAGCCUCAGCGUUUCCUCUUGCUGAGCGUGUGGACUUGAUAUAAUACCUCAGCGUAUGUGACACCUGGGAGCGAUUGCUGCAGUAAUAGUGUGAGAAAUGUUAAUUUAGCUGUUCCUGUUUUCCGAUCCAGCGGAAAAAGCAUUUUCAGAUCAGACCGAUGUUCUGGCAACAUGAGAGAGAAAGAAAGAGCCUCAAACUGCUCAUUAUGCUUCAUCGAAGGCUGAUUUGUCACCCUGCGUUGACAACCACACACACACACACACACACACACACACCACACGCACACACAGCAGGGUGGACCUCUUCCGUUCACAGUAACAGGUACCUCUCUGUCAAUCCGAUUCAUAGAAACUCAUUUUUUCUAGAUGGUGUUGUACAGUAUUUACACAUACAGUAUAUUCUCUAUGAAUACAUGCAGAACACAACAACUAAUCUUAUGGCUUUCUACCAUAAGAGAUUCUGCAAAUAACAUUAUGAAUAACAUUGCGAUUUAUUGCGGUUCAACAAUGCCUUCAAAAGCACCUUAUACUUUUAUUUAAUCCGAAAUCAGGAACAUUUAUUACCAAAAUAUGUCACACAUACAAGGAAUCUGACUUGGCGGUUGGUGCAUAACAGAGACAGUGACACAACAUAGUGCAAGUACUAAUAUAUGAACAAAAGCAUUCACCAUUUCAUACAAACCGGGUGCUCUACUGCCUGACUGCUGAACCCCCCCAUCCCCUUGAUCCAGAGCCCAGUGGGGGUAGUUGAUGAAAGCAGGGGGGCAGCGGUGAUGCUCUAAUCCCUCAUGUAAAAGCUGCGAUCACGCUGUGGAGUUUUCGUCAGUUGCAAAAUCCCUCCCAAGGUCCUCUAGAGAAGCUUUAUCUGUCUCCCUGCUGAAAACUGAAACACAGUGAACUGUCCAACAAUGGAAGCUGCAGAGGGGAAGGAGGAGGGAGAUCAGGGGAGAAGCAUCCAUGGGAGGAAAAGGCCCUCUUAGUCUGACUGAGUGCGUGCUGACCUAUGGGCAGCAGGACGUCCAAGCACUCCGUUCUCUCCUCUUUCCUAUGAGGAAUCCAGCUGCAGCGUUCUGGAUCAGCUGGAGGCGUUUUUCUUUAAAAGCUUUUGGCUUUUAAAUUGGUAAGUGCGUCGUCAUUGUGACACUGUUAACUCGUGUCUGAAUUACU
ensembl:lncRNA